AUUGAACGCUGGCGGCAGGCUUAACACAUGCAAGUCGAGCGAGCGGCGGACGGGUGAGUAAUGUCUGGGAAACUGCCUGAUGGAGGGGGAUAACUACUGGAAACGGUAGCUAAUACCGCAUACCAUCAGAUGUGCCCAGAUGGGAUUAGCUAGUAGGUGGGGUAAUGGCUCACCUAGGCGACGAUCCCUAGCUGGUCUGAGAGGAUGACCGGCCACACGGGAACUGGGACACGGUCAAGACGCCUACGGGAGGCAGCAGUGGGGAAUAUUGAACAAUGGGGGCAACACUGAUGCAGCCAGGCCGCGUGUGGGAAGAGGGCCUGCGGGUUGUAAAGCACUUUCAGCGAGGAGGCGUUACUCGCAGAAGAAGCACCGGCUAACUCCGUGCCAGCCGCCGGGUAAUAC
rnacentral:rRNA from 1 species